rnacentral:rRNA from 1 species
ACAUGCCUAUAACAUAACGUUAAUGCACCGUAUCACAUUAGAACUCUACAGUUAAGCGUGCUCAAGCUAGAGUAGUACUGGGAUGGGUGACCUCCCAGGAAGUCCUAGUGUUUUACAUGCC